GAGUUUGAUCCUGGCUCAGAACGAACGCUGGCGGCGUGCCUAACACAUGCAAGUCGAACGUGAUCCAGAGCUUGCUCUGGUGAAAGUGGCGCACGGGUGAGUAACGCGUGGAUAACCUACCCUGGUAUCCGGGAUAACAUUCCGAAAGGGGUGCUAAUACCGGAUAAGCCCACGGGCUCUUUGGAGCUUGCGGGAAAAGGUGGCCUCUAUUUAUAAGCUACUGUAUCAGGAUGGGUCCGCGUACCAUUAGCUAGUUGGCGGUGUAACGGACCACCAAGGCGACGAUGGUUAGCUGGUCUGAGAGGAUGAUCAGCCACACUGGAACUGAGACACGGUCCAGACUCCUACGGGAGGCAGCAGUGGGGAAUUUUGCGCAAUGGGGGAAACCCUGACGCAGCAACGCCGCGUGAGUGAUGAAGGCCUUUGGGUCGUAAAGCUCUGUCAGAGGGGAAGAAAUGAUAUAGUGCUAAUACCACUUUAUCUUGACGGUACCCUCAAAGGAAGCACCGGCUAACUCUGUGCCAGCAGCCGCGGUAAUAC
rnacentral:rRNA from 1 species